rnacentral:rRNA from 1 species
CCUGGCUCAGAUUGAACGCUGGCGGCAUGCCUUACACAUGCAAGUCGAACGGCAGCACGGGGCAACCUGGUGGCGAGUGGCGAACGGGUGAGUAAUGCAUCGGAACGUGCCAUUGAGUGGGGGAUAACGUAGCGAAAGUUGCGCUAAUACCGCAUAUUCUGUGAGCAGGAAAGCAGGGGACCGCAAGGCCUUGCGCUCUUUGAGCGGCCGAUGUCAGAUUAGCUAGUUGGUGAGGCAACGGCUUACCAAGGCGACGAUCUGUAGCGGGUCUGAGAGGAUGAUCCGCCACACUGGAACUGAGACACGGUCCAGACUCCUACGGGAGGCAGCAGUGGGGAAUUUUGGACAAUGGGCGCAAGCCUGAUCCAGCCAUGCCGCGUGAGUGAAGAAGGCCUUCGGGUUGUAAAGCUCUUUCGGCCGGGAAGAAAUCGCAUGGGUUAAUACCCUGUGUGGAUGACGGUACCGGAAUAAGGAGCACCGGCUAACUACGUG